AUUGAACGCUGGCGGCAGGCUUAACACAUGCAAGUCGAACGAGUGGCGGACGGGUGAGUAAUUCUUUGGAAUCUGGCUUAUGUAGGGGGCUAACGACGAGAACCUUUCGCUACUACCGCUUACCAUACUUUCAGCCCACGCUGGAUUAGGUAGUUGGUGGGGUAAAGGCUCACCUAGGCGACGAGCUCUAGCUGGGCUGAGAGGGUGAUCAGCCAAACUGGGACUGAGACACGGCCCAGACUCCUACGGGAGGCAGCAGUGGGGAAUAUUGCACAAUGGGCGAAAGCCUGAUGAAGCCAUGCCGCGUGUAUGAAGAAGGUCUUAGGGUGGUAAAGUACUUUCGGCGGGGAGGCGUUACCCGAAGAAGAAGCAACGGCUAACUACGUGCCAGCAGCCGCGGUAAUAC
rnacentral:rRNA from 1 species